ACUGGAGCUCCCUGCAUACCUGAGGCCUUCUAAGGGCCUGAAGAUCAGCCACCCUGGAGGAACGUGAGUUGGCUCAACGUGGCAUCUUAUCAUUCAGAGGCAGCCCGGGGAGCAGCUGGUGGGGACAGCACUUUGGCAGCAGGUCAGCUGUACGUUGUGCUAUGUUGCGUGUGACACUGCCAGGGAAGCUGAUCAGAAGAUGGUAAGGCAUGUUGAGCAAAGCUCCAUUGUGUCAUUCUCUUCUGAGGCCAUACCUCAGCAGCUUCCCUGGGUCAUCAGUGCUUCCUGUGACAAGCUAGCCAUCUGUACCACAACCAAUGGGAGACGUGCUGGUCAUACUGAAGAGAGUUCCAGUGCCCUCUGACUACCAUUUUAUGGGGAGGUGGUUUUGGAGCAGAAGAGCUGGACCAUGUUGUCACAUCUCUCACUCUUCAUUUCUCUUGGGAAUUGUGGACAUCAAUGGACAAACUGUGGCACCGAAUGAGGCAUAAACUUGGGAUCAUAGCUACGUUCACAUUUAUUUACAAUUUAUAGACAGUAUGUUUUUGUCAGCCCCACAAUUGCUCUGAGUUCUCUUUGCCUGGUGGAUUUUUAUCAGGAUAUCCCCAACGAUCAUGCAGAAUGUGAUUUGUUUUAUUUUCCUUGAGAAAGAUGGGCGGUUGAGGAGGAAGGAUGUUGGGUUUUUUUCUGCAUUAAAGCCAGCAAAGAAAAGAAAGCAGCUGAAACCUAAGAAAAUUGCACUACUAAUCAUAUUUUCAUAAGCAGUCCUCUGUAGCAUUACAGUCACAGAGUAUAUUUAUAAUUUGGUUUAUAUGAGCAACAGUUUAAGUUGAGGAAAAUUGGUUUCCUUCUCAAAAUGUCAUGUUUCUCAUUUCCUCAGAAUCUUGGGCUGCUUCGAGCUCUUAUCAGCCUUUAAAUCAUUCAGAAGCACACUCCAUAAUUAAAAUGCCGUAAAUCCUCAUGAAUCAAUUUAGUUUUUUUGAUUUGUUCUAAAACAGAUUUAAAUAAAAUUGAAAGCUCACUAAAAUAUGGGAUAAUAAACGCAAGUGCAAAGCGAAAGGAAGAUAAACCCGCUCUACGAUGGUAGCUGGCGGUGGAGUCAGAGCUGAAAUGGGAAGUGACGCCUUCCCAACACAACGGAGACAGUCCUGUGCUCCCCAGAACAGGAACAAGCUGACUCUCAUUUCUGGUAAGGGCACUCUUGUGGCUUCCUUUAGUUGUUGCUGGCUUGGUUUUGGCUUCUGCUCCCAUGAAGAACCUGUAAUGUAGACACUCUGCUCCACUCAAGGAUCAGUGUCCGUUUGUUGCUUGUGCCAGUGGAGGGACAGGAUUUCCAAUGGCGUGCAAUUAGUUAUAUUCUAUUUCUUCCUCGUAUAAAGGAAACAAAUUGGACAGAAGUAUCUGCAGGGCUCAUAUCUUCCUUCAGCAGUGCCUUCUUUACUUGUCACACAUUGUUAAUGUCCUUUGUCGCCAAUCACUCCACAUAGUUUGUUUUGCUUUGGAUAUUUUUUUUCCCUUAUCUCCUUUUCUUCUGGAGUGUUUCAAGUUCUCUCUCGCAGCCACAGCAUUCAAGCACUCUCCUGGCUCCACAAAGUCCCCUCUGCACUACGUGACAUUCUUUGCUGGGCGUCUGCUUGUGGCUUUGCCAAUACUUCUUGCUGUUUCUCCUAAUGUUCCUCUGCAUUUUUAUUCUGUACUCCGAUCAAUAUUUGUAUCUUGUAGGGAGCUCUGAAAUUCUGCUCCCUUCGAGCGACGAAAUAAAGAAUUGCAAGAUUGUCUCUGCAGCCUC
ensembl:lncRNA